rnacentral:lncRNA from 10 species
CCAAGAUCACAGCAUUGCAUUCCAGCCUGGGUGACAGAGCGAGACUCCAUCUCAAAUAAAAGAGAAAUGGUCAUUGUUCAGGGUAAGGUCCAGGGCCUGGAGAAGGUGAGGGGAAGCAGGAGAACAGAAACUGGGAAAAGGAAGUGCUAGUCCCUUUCCAAGAUAUUGCAGGGCCCUGGGGCACCCCCACCCUCCAAGAUACAGCUCCCAGGAAAAAAGUCACGUGCCCCAAAACAAAGUGAGGUGGGGGAAGGAGCAAAGAUUUGCUUGGAGACGGCGCUCAGGGCUCAAAGUCCAGGGCUCAGGACAGCAAAAAACCAGAUUGCCGGGGGAGUGUUUAAUCUGCUCAGGGCGUCUGGGCACCUGUGCACCCUGAGCCUCCAUAUCAUCCGCCCAGCCAUCGCCCGCAGCCCCAAAAGCAGCCUCCUUCCCCAGAGGUAAACUGAGUCCCAAGAGAUGACAGGAGCCCUUCCAAAGGGCUGUUACGAAUGCUUUAAUGCAGGCCAUUGGGAAGCAGCUCUCAGCUGGCAGUGGGUGCAUGGGAGAGGGGAAGUUCUGUUCAGUAGACAUCAGGCAGAGAGAAAAGAAAUCAGGCAGUGGGGAGAAGCAGGUGGAGCCAUGAGAUCGUGGAGGAUUGCGGGUGUCUCCUCAACCAGGGAUGCUCUCCGAGUAUAAGAAGAAUCACCAGGCAGGGACCAAGCUCAGGAAGAGGGGUGAAUCUUCACAUGACUGUGCUCUUUGCUCUCUCAUGGUCUCCGGGCUCUUUUUCCUCCAGAUCCAGUCCCAAGUUGCUCUCUCCUUCCUUUGCUGUCUUUUUCUCCUUCUUCCUCUUCUCUUCUUUCUCCUUGGCCUCUUUCUUCUCUCUCUUGUCUUCACUGUAG